AUUAUCUUGAAUAUUAUUAUAGAUGGAGAUAAACUGUAAACAGCAAUAAUGUUCAGCAAAGUAAGAUUUACAAAUAAGUCAACAUGACCAAAAUGGUCAGUUGACCCCUUUAGGAGUUAUUGCCCUUUAUAGUAAAUUUUUAACCAUUUUUCGUAAAUCUUAGUUAACUUUUACAAAAAUCUUCUCCUCUGAAACUACUGGGCCAAAUUUUACCAAACAUAGCCAGAAUCAUUAUUAGGCUAUCUAGUUUAAAAAUUGUGGUUUGUGACCGGGCAAACCAACCAAGAUGGCCGCUACGGCUAAAAAUAGAACAUAGGGGUAAAAUGCAGUUUUUGGCUUAUAACUCAAAAACCAAAGCAUUUAGAGCAAAUCUGAC
rnacentral:lncRNA from 1 species